UACGGAGGGUGCAAACGUUGCUCGGAAUCAUUGGGCGUAAAGCGCACGUAGGCGGCCUGUUAAGUCGGAUGUGAAAUCCCUCGGCUCAACCGAGGAAGUGCAUUCGAAACUGCCAGGCUUGAAUAUGGAAGAGGGUCGCGGAAUUCCCGGUGUAGAGGUGAAAUUCGUAGAUAUCGGGAGGAACACCAGUGGCGAAGGCGGCGACCUGGGCCAAUAUUGACGCUGAGGUGCGAAAGCGUGGGAGCAAACAGGAUU
rnacentral:rRNA from 1 species